AUCAAUAACUGUUUGGCAAGAUACAGGAAUCCGUACAAUAUUCUUGUGAAACCAUUUGCAUUUAUUGUGAAAACUGCAACAUGUAAUGACAUUCGUCUUAUUAUGUGAAACGGAACUUGUGAACAAAUACUAAUAAAAUAUUUGGAUAAUGUUUUAAAAUGGAUUAACAAAAAGAUAAUGUUAAGUGUUGAGCAAAUUGCAUUGAAUGAUGUCUCCUAGAAAGCCUACAGGAAGCAAUUUCAUAUUGGUGUUGUAAUUGAUACAAACAAGAAUGGAUUCUAUAGGAUGAAUAUCUCUGUACUAGACGGAGUAAUUAGUUUCACAGCACCUCAAAUAUCAGCCUUGUGUACAUGCGACAAAAGUCUCAAUUCGCUAUUCCCGCUUCAACAAUAAAUGAGAUCGUGACGUGAAGAAAGACAGCUGCUUUGACAGUCGGAGAAACACUGGCAAUAUUACGGCAGCUAUACAUGUGAGGAAAAUGGAAGAAGCGUUCAAUUUAAGUGUCAGUUAUGAUAGGAAGUCAUUUUAAAACUAGUUGAUGGAUGUAUAAACCCUUACACGAUGCCGUGUAAUAUGGAUAUUUUAUAUAUUUGUGUUUUCGGAAUAACAUAUUAUAUCACUCCAAUUUGUGGAAAAACCUCCAACACGGUUACAAUAGGGGUGAUUGUGGAUACUAUUGAUGACCGGUCUGCGUCAAUAAAUCAAUCUAUAGAAUUGGCAAUGACAGCAACAAAUAAUACCAAAUUUGUCAAAAUGAAUCCUAUCAGGAAUAAGACUGAUCUGAGAGACAGUUUUCGGCUGCG